AGCUCCAAUAGCGUAUACUAACGUUGCUGCAGUUAAAAAGCUCGUAGUUGGAUUUCUGGUGGGAGCGAUCUGUCUUCACACUGUGAGGUACUUGAUUGUCUCCAGCCAUCCUUGGGAAGAUCCUAUCUGGCAUUAAGUUGUCGGGUAGGGGACUCCCAUCUUUUACUGUGAAAAAAUUAGAGUGUUCAAAGCAGGCUUAUGCCGUUGAAUAUACUAGCAUGGAAUAAUAAUAUAGGACCUUGGUACUAUUUUGUUGGUUUGCGCACCGAGGUAAUGAUUAACAGGGACAGUUGGGGGUAUUCGUAUUCAGUUGUCAGAGGUGAAAUUCUUGGAUUUACGGAAGACGAACUACUGCGAAAGCAUUUACCAAGGAUGUUUUCAUUAAUCAAGAACGAAAGUA
rnacentral:rRNA from 1 species